GGAAUCAUGACCUGAACCGCUAUCAAGAAUCGGAUGCUCAACUGACUGAGCCACCCAGUGCAUGGUCAUGUUGAGCUGGCUGUGACUCUGCUCCAGAGGUUCUGUGCUCUUGGACCUAAGCAGAUGAAGAAGACUCUUCAUGAACAUUGCUUGUCUCAUGCCAAAUGGAAAGGGGAAUCUGGGUCUUCAAGAAGUACCAUCAUCGGUACUUGGCUCAUGUUUACCCAAUGGCCAAACCUCCAGAAGAGAAGAAAAGGCCAGGCUUGGCAUCUCCAUGUGACACAGCAGUGCUGUAGCUUCUGCAUAUUCUAACUGUGUUUCCUAAGUGAUUAACCCUAGUAUAAACUGUUCCACAACCUAGUGCGUUAGACAGAUGUUAAGAAAGACCUGUUCCUUUUGGUGUAUGAAAGUAUAGCUUAGAAUUGGGCAACAUUUAGAAAUGAGAUAUUUAGCCCCAGAAGUGAUCACCCCAGUUUCUUACAAAAAUGUAUUCUAAAUGAUCACAGAAGAAGAUCCCUUUGUGGUGUCUCCACAGGUGAACCACAAAACAGAAUAUUAAUUAUAUAGAACAAACUGAGGAUCGAUGGAGGGGAGGUGGGCACAGAGAUGGAGUAAAUGGGUGAUGGGUAUUAGGACCGCACUUGUCAUGAGCACUGGGUGUUGUAUGUGAUGAAUCACAAAGUUCUACUACGGAAACUAAUAAUACACUAUAUGUUAACUAACUGGAAUUUAAAGACAAACUAAAAAAAUGAAAAAAAAUCCCGUGUCUCCACCCCAAUUCUUUUUUCUUAACUAUGAAAAUUCUAUUCUUGUAAUAUAUUUAAAAAUGUUUCAAUGUUUGAAUUUCAAAUGUACUUGAACCAUUGUCCCCACUUUUUUCUUAGGUUAGAAUUUAGAACAAAAUGCCUAUAAUCAUCAAAAAUGGCUGACAUACAAAGUGAAAGAGAAAUGUACACGUUUAAGAAAGAGAAAUUUUUGCCAAUUGAGGAAUAAUAGGACUUUGUAUUUUAACCUUUCAGUCACAGGAGUUCUGAUAUGAAUCCAAAAUAUUUGACUGCACUGAAAAAUUAUAGCAUUUUACCAGCACAAAAUGUAUUCUAUAAUCUGGUCCUAUUGGGCUAUUAUGUAUUGGUUAUGCCAAUAAUAAAUGCCCAAUAAAAGUCAGUGUAUACUAAAUCAAUGAUUCUAAUGAACUUCAUCUUCUACAGUGAAUUUAUUUUACAGUAGCUUUUGAAUGGGAAGUGGAGUUGGUAGAAAAGUAGAGUAAGAAUGUGUUUAAAAAGAAAAAUUCCCCAAAGUGCUUAUUUUCAAAGAAUUAAAGAUUACAAAUCACUUCAAAUGAUCCAUGGAUUGGAGAGACUUCCCCAUUGGAAAGGCUCCUUUGUCUGCAGUAACAAAAGAAAGAUACAUUUUAACAUGCAUCUUUUUUUUUAAAUCAUAGCAACCUUUUACAUAUGCAAUCAUAACACAUCUACCUGUGGUAUAUCUCAAUUACAAAUAUCAGCCAUUCCGUUCAUCUCAUCCCAAAUUGAGUCUGAGAUGAAUUCAGCAAUUCAGCACUGUUAUUCCAGCUUUAGUCAACCGAGAAAAUCCUUUAUGGAAAUAAAAAUACCUCUGGUUUUCUGUUUAUUUCUGUGACCUAGUAAAAAUAAAGUGAACACAGAGUUUAACUGGCAUGGUUACACUGCCUGGAACACAGUAGAUUCACAAUACAUGAUUUUAUGUUCUGUAUACAUUUAUGUGGAUUAUUCUAAGAUUUGUUUUUUUUCUUCACUUAGCAAAUUGUAAUUAGAUAUGAACUUAACACUCUUGUAAAGAAAAAUGUGAACAUCUAUUGUAAAAGUUGCCCAAAAUUCAAAAGGAUUUGGUUAUAACGAGUCAACCAAGCUCGGCCUUUAAUGGAUAUGUAAUAUAUUUUUCAGGAUACUGUCAUAGUUUUCAAUUAUUGCUUUAACAGAUUACCACAAAAUUAGCAGCUUAAAAUAACACCCAUUUAUUAACUCUUCUUCCCCUCCUUAGAAGUCUGAGUACCGAGCAGCUCAGCUGGUCCUCUCCUGGGUGGUUUACAAUGCAGCAAUGAAGGUAUCAGCAGGGUUGUACUGCUUUCUGGAAGCUCUGUGGAUGAGUGCACUUCUAAGCUCAUUCAGAUUGUUUGUGAAUUCAGUUCUGUAUUGUUAUAGGACUGAAGUCCCGUUUUCUUGCUGACUGUGCAUUAGGAGUCUAUUUCCUUAAGUCUGGGUAUCUCCCUAUUUUAAGGGCUAUAAUGUCAAUUACAUAUGCAAACACCUUUUGCCAUGUUACAUAACAUAUUCCAAUUUCCCUGAAGUAAGGCAUGGACAUCUUUGGGGCACUAUUUUCCCUGCAGAUAGGCUAAGAGAUGGAUUCUGAGAUACUGAGCUUUCCUUAUGAAACACCAAUAGGAUGCUUGAGUAGGAUCAAGGAAGCUCAAAGGGGAAGAAAACAUUGAUGUCUGAAGAUUCCUCCUGGCUCAAUGAGACAGAUAUUUUGUAACUUUUCAUAGAUAUUUUACAUCUUCCAAUAUGCACCUUCAUUUCUAAGGCCUUUUGGAAAUCAUCUCCAAUUGGGCUAAUUGACAAUCCCCACCAAACAGUUUGAUUGCGAAUGUUGGUAUGUUAUGACCCUUCCAACUGUGUGUCCUGAGUCAAGCAUAAAGCACAAAAAAGAAAUUCAUUUGAUUCACUUAAAUUGUAUUAAAUCUCUUAUUUCAAAGAAUCUUACCAGGCAACUUCUACUCAGUAAUUCUUCACAGAAAUCUGCAUGCUAAAUUGCUAAAUACAUCUGUAAAUGAGAUGGAGAAGAUGGUAUGUUCUAUAGUGCUUUUUGUAGGAUGAAGUCUUUUGUGGACUAGAUGGAGAGAUCAGACAUAUGCAGGAUAGUUGGCUUUGCUAAAUUUGAAUGCUUAGAUGACUCAGUGUAAGCAUUUUAAAGAUAAGCUAAAUACCUGUUAUUGAAAUUCCUCUCCUUGCAUUGAAUGUUAACUGCUAUUUACACAAAAUUCUGUAAAUAAAAUGAAUUUUUUUUUUUACUGUUGGAACAUGAAAGGAUCAUAAAUCGAAAGCUGUCUCAAAGCAACAGUGUUUUUAGCACCUGGUUUAUGGUCAGCAUUGCCCACACUCAUCUGGACUUCAAAAAUGUUUAGGAUUUUAUAACAACUACAAAAAAUGUGAAGGAAACUGGUUUCCCAAGUUAAUAAGGCAGUGGGGCUGUGUGUGAGGAGGGAAGUUAGGUGGAUGAUGCUUUUCAAAAGGAAAAAAAAAACCUUUUAAGCUAUUUAAUUUUUUAGAAUUUCAAAAUUGUUCACUUAAUUUUUUUUUCCCCUGCUCAUCACACUCUACCUUUAACGUACAAUGUUUUUUUCCCCAUGAAUUUUCUAGAGUUACCUUCCCUUCUUCAUAAUGAAGUAGAGAAUUCAGAAUGUAUGUGCAGUACUUUUUUAUACAUUAAAAUUAAAAUAUCAUCUCAUCAUCCAUUUUGCCAUAUCUCAUAACUUUGAAAAUUACCGUUCCAUAGUAUUAUUUGAAAGGUUUACAUAACCAUUCCGAAAGUACAUUUUACGCUCCUAUUAAAUCAAGACCUCACAUUGCCAAGAUGGCACCUUAAGAAAGUUUAUUAACACAAAACCAUGACUUUGCAAUGACUUAAAGUCGAUUUGCAAAAUAGAAAUCAGGGCUGUUUGUGAAAUAUAGAGGCAGGGUUGCUUGUACAUAUGUAGAGUCCAUGAAUAUCAUAUUUAUGUUUUAAUUAUUCUGAAAUACAAAUUUAUGAUCUUUCUGAGGGGAGUAAGUGGUUUACAGUGCCUAGUGAAUUUAUUCCUUUAAUGUUUUAAGUGACAGUUUCCUUUGAGAGUCAGGGAAUUCCAAUUUUCAAAAUGAGGAAAAGAAAUAUAUGUUGUAAAGUCAGUUUGCUCAUUCUAUCCACAGAAAACACUCAAUUCCUAUUUACUAAUUCGUAUAUAUUGCAAAGAUGAUAUUCCCCCAGUAAUUUUGAUAGUUUCCUCAUUAGCUUCCAGUAUAUACUACAUAUCUCUGGGUAGCACUUUGAUCUGCUAUCAUGACCCUUGUGUCUCUGAUAGAGGUACACACGUAAGAGGAACAGGUGAGGAGUAGAUGGGAGAAGCAGCAUAUUCAUUUCUAUAUUUGUGUGGUUUAUAUUAGUUUCCCCAAACAGGGGAGUAAUCUUUUUGAAGAUGGAAGAAAACUUUCCAUUGUGCCUAGCACAAUGUCUUGCAUGUAUUAGGCAUGGCCUAGUCAUGUUUAUUAAAUGUGUCUAGUAAAUAAAUAGUUAAUGAUAAUAGUUUUUAUCUUUGUUGAAGCUUCAGGAAAUUGUCUCCAAAACUGUAAGGAGAAGGACAAUAAUACAAAGUUCCGUUGAGGUUGUAAACUUUGUGAUUUAAUGAGUUCUUAACAUUCAGCCAUUCUGGGUUUACCCUCGUUUACCUUACUAUAUAUGUAAGCCUGGUCAUCUUCGUUUUACAAUCAGUCAUAUCCCGGGGUGGCUGGGUGGCUCAGUCGGUUGGGUGUCUGACUUCAGCUCAGGUCGUGAUCUCGCGGUCUGUGAGUUUGAGCCCUGCGUCGGG